AUGCACGCUGGCGGCGUGCCUAAUACAUGCCAGUCGAGCGAACAGACGAGGAGCUUGCUCCUCUGACGUUAGCGGCGGACGGGUGAGUAACACGUGGAUAACCUACCUAUAAGACUGGGAUAACUUCGGGAAACCGGAGCUAAUACCGGAUAAUAUAUUGAACCGCAUGGUUCAAUAGUGAAAGACGGUUUUGCUGUCACUUAUAGAAGGAUCCGCGCCGCAUUAGCUAGUUGGUAAGGUAACGGCUUACCAAGGCAACGAUGCGUAGCCGACCUGAGAGGGUGAUCGGCCACACUGGAACUGAGACACGGUCCAGACUCCUACGGGAGGCAGCAGUAGGGAAUCUUCCGCAAUGGGCGAAAGCCUGACGGAGCAACGCCGCGUGAGUGAUGAAGGUCUUCGGAUCGUAAAACUCUGUUAUUAGGGAAGAACAAAUGUGUAAGUAACUAUGCACGUCUUGACGGUACCUAAUCAGAAAGCCACGGCUAACUACGUG
rnacentral:rRNA from 1 species